rnacentral:rRNA from 1 species
ACGAACGCUGGCGGCGUGCCUAAUACAUGCAAGUCGAACGGUCUUUCUAUGGAAGCUUGCUUCCACUGAGAAGAUAGUGGCGAACGGGUGAGUAACACGUGGGUAACCUGCCCAUAAGAGGGGGGAUAACAUCCGGAAGCGGGUGCUAAUACCGCAUAGUUUUCUUGAUCGCAUGAUUGAGAAAGGAAAGACGGCCUUUGUGCUGUCGCUUAUGGAUGGACCCGCGGCGUAUUAGUUAGUUGGUGAGGUAACGGCUCACCAAGACGAUGAUACGUAGCCGACCUGAGAGGGUGAUCGGCCACAUUGGGACUGAGACACGGCCCAAACUCCUACGGGAGGCAGCAGUAGGGAAUCUUCCGCAAUGGACGAAAGUCUGACGGAGCAACGCCGCGUGAGUGAAGAAGGUUUUUCCGGAUCGUAAAACUCUGUUGUCAGAGAAGAACAAGUUGGAGAGUAACUGCUCCAGCCUUGACGGUAUCUGACCAGAAAGCCACGGCUAACUACGUGCCAGCAGCAGC